rnacentral:lncRNA from 1 species
GGAGGAGAGGCUAGAAUUCAGACUGAGAGACUCAGUUGAAAAACAAAAACCUAGCCCGUCAUUAUUCUAAGUAAGGCAAGAGAAGCUUGACAGGAUGCCUUCGUGAGCCCCUUCUCUGCAGCAGGGGAAGAAAGAAAAGGGGCUUGAAGCCUCUCUGCAGAGGCUCUUCCAGAGUGUGGCUGCAGGGUCCAGGUGACCCGUCAAUGGCGGUAAGGACCCUGGACAGGCGGGCAGUGAAGAGGCCCCUUCGGUGUGGGACUGCCCCAUAUUGCAUGGCACUACUUUGGACAGGGACUAAUGAGACUGUGAAAACAUGUUGCCUGGCCUCUGUCUCUUGGUGUCCAGAAACUUCUGCGUUACUGUGAUGGAAGCAUUCAGACGAGGCUGGUCUGCAGAGGCCACUGAUGUCCUGGGUGCUCCUGAGCCUGCAGCCUCCUGCAAGCCCCCGCUCCACAGCCAGGACUCGUGAGGCCUUUGGAGGCCCUGGAGGUUUGCUUUGCCAUCUCUGCUUUGAGGGUCACGGAAGCAGAGUCUGACCCCACAACCAGCCCCAUGCCUUCCUUCCUCCCUUCUGUUCAUUUUCCCAGUGAAGCUUAGAGGGCUCCUUCUGUUGGCCAUGCCUGCCCACCCUGCUGUCCUGGUCCUGGGCCCAGACCACACUUGACUUUUCCUCUGUCUCCAGGAUGCACUGGAUGGCUGUGUGACUGCCCAUGGCAUAACCUUAGGGGGUGCCACUCACAUAAAUGGUGAGGUGAAUUGCACUAUGGAACGCAAUAGCCCAUGAGCCCCGUCCACAGCUCAUUACAGUCCUGGUCAGGGCGGAGUCCAUCAGAGGCUCCCCGGGUUGGCAAUUCAGGGUUUUUGUUGCUGUUGUUUCGAGAAAGGAUCUUGCUGUGUCAUCCACGCUGGAGUGCAGUGGUGCAAUCACGGCUCGCUGCAGCCUCAAUCUCCCGGGCUCAACUGAUUCUCCCACCUCAGCCUCCUAAGUAGCUGGAACCACAAGCAUGCACCACCACGCCUACCUAAUUUUUUAUUUUAAUUUUUUUCUUUUUUUUUCCACCUAUGUGACAACUGAAGAUCCCAGCUAAUUCUUUUUUUUUAAGAGAUGGGGUCUUGCUAUGUUGCCUAGGCUGGUCUUAAACUUCUGGACUCACGUGAUCCUCCCACCUCAGCCUCCCAAAAAUGCUGAGGUUACAGGUGUGAGCUGCCGCAUCCAGCAUUUUUAUUUUUUAUUUUUUUGAGACAAGGUCUCACUCUGUUGCUCAGGUUGGAGUGCAGUGGCACAAUCAUGGUUCACUGCAGCCUCAAACUCCUAGGCUCAAGCAAUCCUCCUGCCUCAGCCUCCCAAGUAGCUGGGACCACAGGUGUGUGUCACCACACCUAGCUAAAUUAAUUAAUUAAUUAGUUAUUAUUAUUUUGUAGAGACAGGGGCUCCCUAUGUUGCCCAGGCUGGUCUUGACCUCCUGGUAUCAAGUGAUCCUAUCACCUUGAACCCUCAAAGCGCCUAUCCCUAUUUCUCUUUUUUCUAAAAGAAAAAGUUCAGUGACAAUGACAAGUGGUAAUUCACACGUGGCCUCAAUGUUGCGGAGAAACUAAAGGACGGAGGAGGAAAAGUGGAACGUGUAAGCCUUAAAUAAAGACGGUAGCUUCUACUUAGUUCUAGCAGAUUCCUGCCAAGAGAGGAUGAUAGCAGAAUGUUGCCAUGGCUGCUUCUUUAUUCGCUAGAAGCAGAAAUCCGUAUUUUUGGAUGAAGCUUCCUGCUUUUUAAAUGUUGGCUCAAAUGAAAGACAAAACAGGAAUCCAGGCUAGGGGAGAGGGUGACUUGGAGCAGGGGGCUUGCAGGGAGGUGUGAGAAGUGAGAAUAUUCUGAAGGCAGAGAUUUCCUCAUGGGUUGGGUGUGGGCUAUGAGAGAAAAAGACAGAAAAAGAGGAAGCAGGAUGAUUCCAAGUUGUUUUUUUUUUUUUGAGACGGAGUCUCGCUCUGUCGCCCAGGCUGGAGUGCAGUGGCGUGAUCUUGGCUCACCGGAAGCUCCACCUCCCGGGUUCACGUCAUUCUCCUGCCUCAGCCUCCCGAGUAGCUGGGACUACAGGCGCCCGCAACCACACCCGGCUAAUUUUUUGUACUUUUCGUAGAAAUGGGGUUUCACCGUGUUAGCCAGGAUGGUCUCGAUCUCCUGAUCUCGUGAUCCACCAGCCUCAGCCUCCCAAAGUGCUGGGAUUACAGGCAUGACCCAAUGCGCCCAGCUUCUUUUUUUUUUUUUUUUGGCUGAGCCUCUGGGCUCCUCCUAAUGACCCCCUGCGUCCUGCUUUCUCCCUCACGCCUGGCAUGUCAGUCUCAACGCAGCGCCCGAGGGCUUCUUUAAAACCCAAGUCAAAUCAUACACUCCUCUGCUCAAAGGCCACCAAUCGCGCCCACACCAUCAAAGUAAAAGCCCAGGCCCAGGAAGUAGAAUGGGGGCUGUCAAGAGCUGGGGAAGGGGGAGCUAGUGUUUAAUAGGUGUAGCGUUUCAGCUGGGGGAUGAGAAAGUUCUGGAGAUGGAUGGUGGAGAUGGUUGUGCAACAAUGGGAAUGCUAUAAACGUGGGUGGGGAAGACUUCAGAGGAGGAAGUUUUAUGGGGGAGAGCAGGAGCUCAGUUUGGGGCAUGUCAAGAAUGAGAUGCCUUAUUAAACAUUCGAGCCAAGACACUGAACAGAGCUGAGUCUGGAGUUCACAGAGAGCCAAGCUGGGGACAUGGAUUUGCAAUCAAUCAGUGCACAGAUGGCAUCAGUUCCACGGGACUGAGAGUUCACCAGCGUAGCGAGAACAGCCAAAACCAAACCAAACCAAAACGUUCUCCACAGGUCCCAGGAGUGAGCCAGAGACUUUAAGCUGAAAGGAGGAGGGAGAGACAUGAAGGCUGCACAUACACAGAAAAAAAAAAAAACCCAACAACAUGUGGGGACACGGAGAAGGCAUAGCCUGAGGAGAAACCAGCCAUGCCAACACCUUGAUCUCAGACUUCUAACCUCCAAAACUGUGAGAAAACGAACGCCUAUUGUUAAGUUGCCCAGCCUGUGGUAUUUUGUUACGGAAGCCUGAGCAAACUAACACAGCCUGGCAUUUUUGCUCUGAAGUUUACAGGAUUGAUUGGAAUUUAUGGGAAUAGAUUUAUAGUUGCACAACUCAAUGCUAUGCAGGGAUUUUCUCCAGCGUGAUUCCUUUGGUGAAACAGUGGCCCCCACUUCCUACUGUCUGCCCAAACCCAAGCCAGCGAAAGUGUCCAUUCACCCAUCCAUUCAGUCAUUUACUCAUUCAUUCAACAAAUAUUUAUUGAAGACUUACUGUAAAGGUCUUAUAAAAGGUGAUGGAACCUUGUCCAUAUCAGGGUUAGACAUGGCUAAGUUCUGGGGAAUUAGAACAUAUUAUUAAUCUCCAUAACAAAUACAGCUUUUGAUGACACACAGAAACGAAUGAAAUCGGACACAAAGUCCCAAUCAGUUUUUGGAAAUAAUCCACAAAAUAAAUGGAAGUUUCAGUUCCAUAAACAACUAAAUUGGAUCCAGAUAUCAGAUAAUUCCACAUUAUAUUGAAAAAGAAGAAAUCGGGCCAGGCAUCAGCAUGUUGGGAGGCUGAGGUGGGCAGAUCACUUGAGGUCAGGAGUUCAAGACCAGCCUGGCCAACAUGGUGAAACCUUGUCUCUACUAAAAAUACAAAAAUCAGCCAGGUGUGCUGGCACAUGCCUGUAAUCCCAGCUACUCAGGAGGCUGAGGCAUGAGAAUUGCUUGAACCUGGAUGGCAGAGGUUGCAGUGGGCCGAUUGUGCCACUGCACAUGGUUUGGCUGUGUCUCCACCCAAAUCUCAUCUUGAAUUGUAACUGCAAGAAUUCCCAUGUGUCGUGGGAGGAACCUGGUGGGCAGUGAUUGAAUAAUGGGGGCAGGUCUGUCCUGCACUGUUCUUGAGAUGGUGAAUGAGUCUCAUGAAGUCUGGUGGCUUUAGAAAUGGGAGUUUCCCUGCACAAAUUCUCUCUUCGCUUGUUUGCCCCCAUGUGAGAUGUGACUUUCACAUUCCACCAUGAUUGUGAGGCCUCUCCAGCCAUGUGGAACUUUAAGUCCAAUAAACCUCUUUCUUUUGUAAAUUGCCCAGUCUCUGAUAUGUCUUUAUCAGCAGCAUAAAAAUGGACUAAUACCAUCUUGUAUACUGUUUGGUUAAUAAAUGCCCUUCUGGGAGACAGGCCUCACAACAUCCACAAAAGCUGGGCUGCUUUCUGGGGCAGAAAGAGCUUAAUGAAGAUUAAUAUCUUUGUGUUGAGUGAACUCUGAGAUGGCUCCCUGUGGUCCCUGACUCCUGGUGUUCUCACCCUUGUGUAAUGUCCCCAAUUGUGUGCAGGCAGGACCUUCGAUUUGGUUUUAACAAACAGAGAAGAGCAAAGAUGAUAGGAUGUCACCUCUGUAAAUAUAAGAUGACGACUUGUGUCUUGG